rnacentral:rRNA from 1 species
UACAGAGGUCUCGAGCGUUGUUCGGAUUUACUGGGCGUAAAGGGAGCGUAGGCGGUUUGGUGUGUUGAAUGUGAAAUCCCACAACUCAACUGUGGAAUGGCAUUCAAAACUACCAAGCUAGAGUACUGGAGAGGAGAGCGGAAUUCUUGGUGUAGCGGUGAAAUGCGUAGAUAUCAAGAGGAACACCGGUGGCGAAGGCGGCUCUCUGGACAGAUACUGACGCUGAGGCUCUAAAGUUAGGGGAGCAAACAGG